UGGAGGGGUCGUCAUUUGCUAUUGUUCACCUGAAGCGUCUUCUCCUCUCUCUCCUCCGCACGUGCGAAUACUGCGUCUCUCUUCGCACGUGCGGAGAAGGGACUCCUUCUUCGUCCAUUGGUGGCCUUCGAGGGUUUGGACAUGGCGAAGAGAACGAUUAUAAUGAUGAUAAUGCUGAGGAGGAGGAGGAAGAAGAGGAGGAGGUGUAGAUGUGUUUGGAUCGAAAAGGGAGCAUCGCAUGGAUCUCUCGCAUAGGAAUCUCUAAAUCUCUUUGUUCGCUCAUGCUAUAUUAGCCUCUCUCGCUGGAACCUCCGGAAAUCUUCAAUCAACCCUGCGUCCACAUCGCGCUUCAUCUUCUCCACCAACCUUCUCAGAACCUGCAUUGUUAGAACAAAAAUAUCUCUGAGUUUUCGGAGCUCAUCCUGAUAGCAUGUAGAGUUUGUGUUGUUCUCACCGACUCGGCGACGCCUCUGAGUACAUUCUCAGGGACUAAAGCAAGCACAGGUGGGAGGACGAAGCUGAAGCUCAUCUCUAGCUCGCCUUUGAGACGUCUGCGGCCGCCUUUCUGUUCUGGGUACAGCAUCCCUUGCACACUCAGCGCGAAGUAAGAUGGCAUAUAGGUGCUAUCCAAUCCUUGGAGCUCCCAUCUAGUCUGCAAAUCACAUUUCCAGGAUAUUAUAAUAAGCUCGAGGACGCUGGUGAUGUUGCGGGGGACAGACGAUGGGUAUUCCUUACCCUGUGAUUUGCUUCGCAGUCACAUGUCCACCACCGGAUUAACCGUCAGGAGCAGGAAUUGGAGCGGUAGCAUCUGUAUCCUCCAUUCUUCCUGAUUCGGUUGCAACAGAUAAUAGCAAGGAUAAUGAUGAAUCACAAAUUGAGUUUGGGUUUCAAUUCAAAAAAGGAUGGAAGAUCUAAUAUGAGCUUUAUAUUUGCUAUAGCAGUUUAGAAUAGUAACACAUUUGUUCUCGAUUUCCUCUUAUUUUAAACUUUCUUAUUCUUCUUUUUACUUUUGAAGCAUUGAAACAGAAUUUGCUGCACAAUCUCACAUCAUUAAGCCUCAUGCUUCUGCAUCGGUCGGGGAAAAUCGCAUUGAAUAUGCGAGGCCGGUCGAGGAGGUAUUCAUCAAACGAAACCUGCAUGGGAACUCUCUCAGGUGAGAGGAAUAAAUGGAUGGGAAUAAGGGAGGGAUAAAGUAGGAGAACAGGGUGGAAUAAAAUAGCCCUGCCCCAGGGUGUUCGUAGAGGGGGAGAUCGGUGGAAAUGUUGGAUGAGAAUGUGACUAUAUCGGCGGGAGGCUUCUUAUUCUCUUUGCUCACAAUCAUCCCUUCUGCUGCAACUGCCGCUGGAAGAAUCAUUGAUGAUUUUCAAAAAGCGCUUAACGCGAAUUGAAUCCUAGGAAAGUAAUUUUGGGGGAAAGCUCUUACCUCCUCUGAGGAUGAGAGGGAAGCGAUUUUGGCAUGGGCUGUAAGCUGCUGCUGAUGCUGCCACAAUCUCAGCCAUCUCUCUCUCUCUCUCUCUCUCUCUCUCUCUCUGGAAGUAGCUUUUGUUAUGGUGGCUUUAUCAUGUCAUGGGUGGGGACAAAAUGGUGUGGUUGACAUAAAGCGUUUAGAGGGCAUAGAGAGAGAGCCAACGUCCCCACUUAGUAGUGGUGCGAGGUGCGAAGCGUCUUGGACUAAAGAAGAAAAAGGCUCGGGACGUGGCUUUUUACCAAAGCAAAUUAAAAUAAUACACUCCCUAAUGCCAUACGCUAUUGUGAUUAUUGGUUGGUGGAAUUGGAUGCUAGGAUCUUUCUGAUGCUGUUUGUGAUGUCUCUGCAUGUACGAAAGUCAAUGCCAAACAUAUCUCGACACGCUAAAAAUAGAAUCAGAAGUGAUUAUAUGUAAAUGGAUUGUAGUUUGUUUUCUAUGGUUUCGUGUGCAGGGUCUUUCAUAACUUGACACGCUACAAAAAGUUUCAGAAGCGCUUGCAGUAAGUUGAUUGAAGUUUGUUUUCUA